AAAAUUUCGGGGGGGGGGGCUGAAGCCCCAUCAGCCCCCCCCCCUGGCUACGCGCCUGGUGGUGAUUGUCAGAAUUCCAACAUUGUGAAGGAGAGAAAUAAACUUUCUCUUGAACAGCAUUGCAACCCAUAAAAUGAAGGUGCAGAAAGAAACGCAGCGGACAUCACUGCGCGUACCACAUGUGGCAUCUUCUGUAUUUCUUCGGUGUUCUUUUCACAUUCUGCUAUGUUUUUGAGGAUCUUUAUAGUACGUUCCAGAAGGGUAUGCUCCAGCCAGCCAGGUGUUGCCUAGCAAUGGAGACGGGCCUCUUCUGAAUAUCUGUAUAAAAUAUUUCUCUUGGUUUCUGCAGUACAGGUUUCUUUUUGUUUUUGCUGUACUUCACCACAAGGCUUUGCACAGAGGGUUUCUGCCAAGGAGAGCAGAGCGAGCGGUACGCAGUCCAGGGGGGCAUUCGGGUAGUUUCCACUUUAGCGGCUGCAGACCAAUGAAUAAUUACAUGUUGUUACUGCCAUUUUUUUUUUAUUCUAACGUAUUCAUUUGGAGGUUAUACUGAAGUCCAUGCUCAUGGCUGGAUGGAGCAGUAGAGCGAGGCCUUGUGGAAUGUACUGCGAAAAUACAUUUUCCUGGGUUUAAAGUAAUAUCACAAUUAGUACCAGCAAACCCUAAAAUUAGCUUUGUUUCUCUGCUUCAUCAAAGAAUCGAUGAAGCUGCACUAUAGGUAAUCAGCGCUGGAGUUUGCAGCAUGCAGCGGCACCCUGGCGGAUGCUGGCCGGCAACAUUUAGUCAUGCAUGCAGAUACAAAUGGCCACUAACGUCGACGACGCCGUGGUGCGCAAUGCUGAAGCGAAGAGAAAGAAACGUCGAGGCCGGCGGUAUUGCUGUGUUUUUGACUGCCACAACCAAGAAGGCUCUGACAGCAGCGUGUCUUUUUACACGUUCCCUUCGAAAUCGUAUGAGAUAGAGCGGCGGCAGCGUUGGAUACAAGCGGUUCGACGUGUAGGGCCCGAUGGCAAACCUUGGCAACCAAAUGCAAACACCAGGAUAUGUAGCCGGCACUUCUAUGGGAAUGCAAAGAGCAACAACAUGCACCAUCCUGCAUAUGUGCCGACGAUUUUUCCUCCGGCAUACUUCCGCACACAUCCUUGCGACCAUUCGAGACCAGCAGAACGAUAUCGGCGACGGACAGAGCGAGCUCAAGCAUGCACGAAGUCACCUGCAAGUUACCGGGCCUCACGGCGAAGUGAAAGAAGGGCAAGUGUACCAGAAGUUUUAGCUGUUGCAUUUUAGUUUGGAAAUUACGCAAGAAAGUUUGACAUUUUUCAUUGUAUACAGGACGAGAACACUCGCAGCUUGACUGGCGGCUCCCAUCGGCAGCCAAUAUAUCCUGAAGCACCAAAGGGAAAUAGCACCUUUCGCUGGAGCUCCGUGCUUAGUCUCAUUUUUACUUUCUGACUCGUGAGACUAUUAAACACGAGCAAGUUGAGGCCUUGUACUUCAUUUCAUGCAUAGCAGGCACCACUGCUAAAGCUACUCAUGUCAUGUAGUGCGGUCAUAGAAGUCUCAACCGGCGCGUUUGGCAAUGCAGUUGUUUUAUAUCUGCAACACUUUCUGCGGAAUAAGUACUGCAUAUAUUACAACUACAGCCUAUGGUCGUACGGCUACGCCAAGUUAUGUAUUAUUUGUGCAGCCCUGUGCAUACAAUAUGCGGCAUACUGCGUUUCGGGCACGAGCGGUGCGCUGUGGCCGCUGGUCCCAGAAACGUGUCGCUCCGUUCAUUUCGUGGUGAACUGGGUCAGAUCUGCGAUGCCUUCCAAGUAAUGCAUGCAUCAUACAGUCAAAUGCUUUUAUAACAAAGUGCUUGGGGCCUCUUGAAUCCUUCGUUGUACAGGUCACUUUAAAGUUGUAAUAGUCACACACCGCAACAACGGGGACAGAAUCAUUCCUUCGUUAUACAGGUCAUUUCGUUGUAGAGGCAGUGUUGUACACGUUCCUCUAAAACAUUCCUCGUUCCUAGAUUGGAAGGAACGAGUUCCCAGUAUAAGUUUCUUUAAUGCGAAAGGAACACAAUUUAGUUAAACUUUGAACAUUGGAACGUGUCGUGACAUCUACGUUACGUUUGAUUUUUAAAUUAAAAUGUAGUGUCGGAUAAUCCUGAGGUGAAAUAAAGUGAUCAAUUUAAAACUCACAUCGAACUAUGUAUAUUAUAUGA